CCUACGGGUGGCAGCAGUGGGGGAUAUUGCACAAUGGGGGGAACCCUGAUGCAGCGACGCCGCGUGGGUGAAGAAGCGCCUCGGCGCGUAAAGCCCUGUCAGCAGGGAAGAAAAUGACGGUACCUGAAGAAGAAGCCCCGGCUAACUACGUGCCAGCAGCCGCGGUAAUACGGGGGGUGCGAGCGUUAUCCGGAUUUAUGGGGUGUAAAGGGUGCGGAGGCGGGUUAGCAAGUCAGCGGUAAAACCGGGGAGCGAAACUCCGUCCAGCCGUUGAAACUGAUGAUCUUGAGUGGGCGAGAAGUAGGCGGAAUUCGUGGUGUAGCGGUGAAAUGCAUAGAUAUCACGCAGAACUCCGAUGGCGAAGGCAGCAUACUGGCGCCCGACUGACGCUGAAGCACGAAAGCGUGGGUAGCGAACAGGAUUAGAUACCCCUGUAGUC
rnacentral:rRNA from 1 species